UUAUGGUACUAAUUAUUGGGCAAACAGAGACAGUGUUGACUGAGUAAAAACUGUGUCAACAGUCCAACAAUUCAACACAUAUGAAGAAUAACGUUUCCAAUAAUAAGUAAAUUAUCACUUUACCUUCCUGUCAGUGU